GUAGUCCUAAUUAAGGUGUCUUUUACUCCGUGUUCCCAGGCUCCCUGUUUUCCUUCGGUCGCCGUGGGUGUGCCGGACGCCUCUGGCAGGACUAACCCUGUGGCUUUUAUGUCCAACGUGCUGUGCUGUGUGUGCCUGCAGGUGGUUGGUGUUUCUGCAGUGUUUGGCACAGGACUGGGGGAGAUUUUUACCCAGCUUUCUAAAGCUGUAGAUGAAUAGGAGAGACUGAAUGCACUCCCUUUAUUCACCUUUUCAGAGAGUAUCGGCCAGAAUACGAGCGCCUGAGAAAAACACUGGUAAGUGUUUUUAGCUGUUUUACACCUGAACAGUGUAUCUUGGGUCACUUUUGUGCACACAAUUGCCUUUAUGUUGAG